UUUGAAAUUCAAAUUUCACGCCAAAACUACAAUCUAUCUGUUUGUCUCGAACAACUCAAUGAAUUUUUUUUACAAAUAGUGGUAGCAAAAAGAUCUUCCCCAAAUCUUCUGAAGUAGCAGAUUCUUCUAAAGCCAACAGGGGGGUUUCAGUUCCAGGAGCAGCAGCUGGAUUUACUUAUAGCUUCUCAACGCCUCAAUGAUUUUAAGGUUACUUUCUAGAAUGCAGAGAUGCAGUUGCAGGACCUGAAACCAUGUGUGCUUAGUGCUGUGGUGUGCUGAUGGAUGUGUUGCUUAUGCCUCACACUAUCGGCCCACGGCAUUUGGCUAUGGUUUCAAGAUGUGUGCUUAAUGCAGCGGUGUGCUGAUGGAUGUGUCGCCUAGUGCUCACAUCUAACGGCCCGCAGCAUUUGGCUAUGGUUUCAAGAUGUGUGCUUAAUGCAGCGGCGUGCUGAUGGAUUUGUGCAGCUCACUGCUCACAACCUGCGGCCCGCAGCAUUUGGCUAUCAACCCACGAUGUGUGCUUAGUGCAACGGUGUGCUGAUGGGUUUCUGCAGCUCACUGCUCACAACCUACGGCCCGCAGCAUUUGGCUAUCGAUUCUUGUUCUUAGUCUGUCAAAGAAGCUAAUUAUCAACUCCAAAAGUAUAAAGUCUUAAUUCCCCGACUAUGUUUUACUAACUGUUGCAUCAGCUUCAUUCUGACUUCAGGAACGAAGUAUCUUGUUUGUUUGUUGCACAACUUGAUUACUUCUUCCACGGACAUUGCAUAUUCAGUAGGGAGAGUUUUUCAUCCAGAAUGCUUGCCUACUUGGCAUUUAAUCAGCCUGCCGCUUGGGUAAAGUUUCACUGAUAAUAGCCUAGUUUACCUGUUUAGAUUUUGUUGUAUUGCUUUGCUGACUAGAUUAUUAGUACUCUGCUAGUAUAUUUAAUUUUAUUCUUGCUUUCCUAUAAUCAAACCUUGUGUUGAAUUUGUUCGACAAAGAAGAUAACAGGUUACACUUACAUGUCAAAUCAAAAGGCACACAUUCUUAAUCUAUCUCAAUGUACACUUAACUUGUUCUUAUAUCUCUAGAAUCCCUGAGUUUCUCUUUUGCUUGUUACAGGUCUAUCAUUCUUGUUAUAGGUUUUUACCAUUUUUCUCGAUGAGUGUCAGGUUAGUACAUUUUGCCUUUACAAAGGCAUUUAGUAGUUUUUAUCUCAUGGAAACAAUUGCAGGAAAAACAACGAGAUGUAUAAGCAUUCUUAUCUUACAUCAAUAUGUAUUGAGGCAGCGAUGAUCUAAAAUCGUUACUAACUUGAGGGUCGGAGUAUCUUUUUUGUUUUUUUUUGCAGGUCUCGCCUUUGUAUUCAUAUGACAAACUCAAUUAGCAGAGUUGUUGAAAUGAAAUGCUGGUGCCCUUUUUUGUUUUUUGCAGGUCUUGCCUUUGUAUUCCUAUGACAAAUUUAAUUAGCGGAGUUGUUGAAAUGGAAUGCCGAUGCCUCGUGGGAAAUGUUAUCUGUUUUUCUUUUUUACUUUGUUUUGCAUAAAAUUGUUACUAAAUUGAGCGUUGGAGUAUCUUUUUUGUUUGUUGCAGGUCUUGCCUUUGUAUCCCUAUGAUAAAUUCAAUUAGCAGAGUUUUUGAAACGGAAUGCUGAUGCCUCCUGGGAAUUGUUAUCAUUUUGGUUAUUAUGUUUUGCAUAAAAUUGUUUCCAACUUGAGGGUCAUAUCUUUUUUUGUGUUUUGCAGGUCCUGCCUUCGUAUUACUACAACCAAUUCAGUUAGCAGAACUGUUAAAAUGGAAUGCUGGUGCCUUGUCGGGAAUGUUAUCUGGUUGGUGAUUAUGUUUUGCAUGAAAUUGUUUCUAACUUGAGCGUCGUGGUACCUUUUUGCAGGUCCUGCCUUUGUGUUUCUACGACCAAUUCAGUUAGUAGAGCUGUUGAAAUAAAAUUCUGGUGUCUAGUGGGGAAUUUUAUCUGUUUGGUUAUUAUGUUUUGCAUGAGAUUAUUUGUAGUUUGUGCAUUGGAGUAUCUUUUUUGUCUUUUUGCAGGUCUAGCCUUUGUAUUUCUAUGACAAAUUCAAGUAGCAGAGUUGUUCAAACGGAAUGCUGGCGCCUCAUUGGGAAUUUAUUUUUAUUUUUUUACUAUGUUGCAAAAAAUGUUACUAACUUGAGCUUCGGAGUACCUUUUUUGUUUUUUUGCAGGUUAUGCCUCUGUAUUCCUAUGACAAAUUCAAUUAGCAUUGUUGAAACGGAAAGUUGGUGCCUCGUGGGGGAAUGUUAUCUUUUUUUUUUGUUUUUCUUCUAAGUUUUGUAUAAAAUUGUUUCUAACUUGAGCUUCGGAGUAUCAUUUUUGUUUUUUUGCAGGUCUUGGCUUUGUAUUCCUAUGACCUAAACAAUUACCAGUGCUGCUGAAACGGAAUGCUGUUGCUUCGUGGGGAUUGUUAUAUUUUUGGCUCUUGAUCAAUUUGCCCCUAGGUUAUGUCUGACUUCAAAGGAUAAUGCAAAUGGAGACCGAUCAGUCCUGUGAAUUGUGUACUUUAAUGAGAUCCUCCUGCUCCCUAAAAGAGGCUACACUUCAGCUCAAAUGUUACACGUUACGCUUAUGACUCUUAUCUUUACCAAAUUUCAAAUGAAAAGUAUAUAUUUACUUGUUUUCGUCUAAAAUGCUUCCUGAGUAAAAGCUUCAGAGUAUCUUUUUCUGUUUUUGCAGGUCUUGCCUUGUUGUUCGGAGGCCAGUGAUUAGGUAGAAUUUGGAAAGCUGGUGCCUGGUAGACAAAGCUUGUGUGAUCUUACUUUAAAUGAUGCAAAUGGAGACCCAUCAGUCCUGUGAAUAGAUACUAGUGAGAUCCUCCUUUUCCUUUAAAGAGGCUGCAUUUCGACUCCAAAAGUUAACUUCCAACUCUUAUCUUUGCCAAAUUUCAAAUCAAAAUUAUAUAUUCUAAAUCUAUGUUUACCUAUUAUUGUGUAACAUUCUUCCCGAGUUAAGCUUCGGAUUUAUUUUAUUUUUGCUGUUUUUGCAGGUCUUGCCUGCUUAUUUGGAAGCCACGCGUAAGGGAGAGUUGUUGAUGUGGAAUGCUGGUGCCUGGUAGAGAAUGCUUGUGUGCAUCGCAUUUGACCAGUCUGUUGUCAGGAUAUACAGGGGAUCAGAGAUCCGGGGCAUCAUUGUUCAUCGGAUAAUCAAGAGAAUGUUAUCUUUUUGGCUCUGGUCAGUUUGCCUCUAGGGUCUGUCUGGAUUAAAAGGAGGCAAAUGCGGUCCGGCCAGUCCUGUGAAUUGAAAGCUUCAAAGAGAAUGAUUUCUGGAUACAACGGUUAAAAAGAGGUGAUAUCCUCUUCUUCCCUAUGAGGCCACAUCUCUACUCAACUUCAGAUCAGAUGAAUAUAUAUAUAUAUACAUAUAUACAUGGGAUCAGAGAUCAGGGGCAUCAUUAUUCGUUGGAUAUUCAAUGCAAGUCUCCGAAACAACAUCAUUCGUGCACUGCAUACAUCUGAUUAUGGUAGGAGGGAUGGCGAUUAGAAGAAUAUAUAAGCUGAGAAGAAUACAGCUCAAGAAUUCACUUUGUGUUUAUUUACUACACUGGUGCUAAAUGUGUGUUGCACAGUGUUUUGAUCUGAUGAUACGAAAUCUCUCCGGGAGAUGGUCUAGUACUCUAGUUGCAAAUUACAAAGUGGUGCUGUGGCUGUGCUUACUUAUGCCAGAUAUGCGCUGAAAGUGUAUUUGUUGUUUCAUGUCUUACAAACAUGUGGAAAACCCAUUUUGAAGCAGCAAUGGGCAGGCAAUAUUAAUUUUUCAGAUUACUCGCAUACCGGACGUUGUAUAAAUACAGACGACGGACAGAUUGUAAAAGUAGUUUAACAAACGGAUGUA